rnacentral:tRNA from 1 species
AGCAGAAUGGCUUAGUGGAAAGAGCCUGGGCUUGAGAGUCAGAGGUCAUGAGUUUGAAUCCCAGCUCUGCCA